GAUGAACGCUGGCGGCGUGCCUAAUACAUGCAAGUCGAGCGAACAGACGAGGAGCUUGCUCCUCUGACGUUAGCGGCGGACGGGUGAGUAACACGUGGAUAACCUACCUAUAAGACUGGGAUAACUUCGGGAAACCGGAGCUAAUACCGGAUAAUAUAUUGAACCGCAUGGUUCAAUAGUGAAAGACGGUUUUGCUGUCACUUAUAGAUGGAUCCGCGCCGCAUUAGCUAGUUGGUAAGGUAACGGCUUACCAAGGCAACGAGCCGAAGCCGACCUGAGAGGGUGAUCGGCCACCCUGGAACGGAGCCACGGUCCAGACUCCUACGGGAGGCAGCAGUAGGGAAUCUUCCGCAAUGGGCGAAAGCCUGACGGAGCAACGCCGCGUGAGUGAUGAAGGUCUUCGGAUCGUAAAACUCUGUUAUUAGGGAAGAACAAAUGUGUAAGUAACUAUGCACGUCUUGACGGUACCUAAUCAGAAAGCCACGGCUAACUACGUG
rnacentral:rRNA from 1 species